CCACAAUGUUGCUGUGUCCACUCCUUUUACAGAAAGAGGAAGUUGAGUCAAGCCACAGGAACUGUAGGGGUCCAGUCCGGAGGAAACGCUGGUGUCUUCAGUCCCUUACCAGAGGCUCAGAAUGGAGCACACUUCACUUUAUAUGCUGCUCUUGCUGAGUGCAUUAUUCAUCUGUGGACACACUAAAGGUGAGUAAGUAAUCAAUACAUAUUUGUCUGCAUUUCAU